AAGUCGAGCGAACAGACGAGGAGCUUGCUCCUUCGACGUUAGCGGCGGACGGGUGAGUAACACGUAGGUAACCUACCUAUAAGACUGGGAUAACUUCGGGAAACCGGAGCUAAUACCGGAUAAUAUUUCGAACCGCAUGGUUCGAUAGUGAAAGAUGGCUUUGCUAUCACUUAUAGAUGGACCUGCGCCGCAUUAGCUAGUUGGUAAGGUAACGGCUUACCAAGGCAACGAUACGUAGCCGACCUGAGAGGGUGAUCGGCCACACUGGAACUGAGACACGGUCCAGACUCCUACGGGAGGCAGCAGUAGGGAAUCUUCCGCAAUGGGCGAAAGCCUGACGGAGCAACGCCGCGUGAGUGAUGAAGGUCUUCGGAUCGUAAAACUCUGUUAUUAGGGAAGAACAAACGUGUAAGUAACUGUGCACGUCUUGACGGUACCUAAUCAGAGAGCCACGGCUAACUACGUGCCAGCAGCCGCGGUAAUACGUAGGUGGCAAGCGUUAUCCGGAAUUAUUGGGCGUAAAGCGCGCGUAGGCGGUUUUUUAAGUCUGAUGUGAAAGCCCACGGCUCAACCGUGGAGGGUCAUUGGAAACUGGAAAACUUGAGUGUAGAAGAGGAAAGUGGAAUUCCAUGUGUAGCGGUGAAAUGCGCAGAGAUAUGGAGGAACACCAGUGGCGAAGGCGACUUUCUGGUCUGUAACUGACGCUGAUGUGCGAAAGCGUGGGGAUCAAACAGGA
rnacentral:rRNA from 1 species